GUUGACCUCGAAUCAGGUAGGAAUACCCGCUGAACUUAAGCAUAUCAAUAAGCGGACGA
rnacentral:rRNA from 1 species